GGGUUGUGAGGUUAAGCGACUAAGCGUACACGGUGGAUGCCCUGGCAGUCAGAGGCGAUGAAGGGCGUGCUAAUCUGCGAUAAGCGCCGGUAAGGUGAUAUGAACCGUUAUAACCGGCGAUACCCGAAUGGGGAAACCCAGUGUGACUCGUCACACUAUCAUUAACUGAAUCCAUAGGUUAAUGAGGCGAACCGGGGGAACUGAAACAUCUAAGUACCCCGAGGAAAAGAAAUCAACCGAGAUUCCCCCAGUAGCGGCGAGCGAACGGGGAGGAGCCCAGAGCCUGAAUCAGCAUGUGUGUUAGUGGAAGCGUCUGGAAAGGCGCGCGAUACAGGGUGACAGCCCCGUACACAAAAGCGCAUGUGUUGUGAGCUCGAUGAGUAGGGCGGGACACGUGGUAUCCUGUCUGAAUAUGGGGGGACCAUCCUCCAAGGCUAAAUACUCCUGACUGACCGAUAGUGAACCAGUACCGUGAGGGAAAGGCGAAAAGAACCCCGGCGAGGGGAGUGAAAAAGAACCUGAAACCGUGUACGUACAAGCAGUGGGAGCACAGGUUUACCUGUGUGACUGCGUACCUUUUGUAUAAUGGGUCAGCGACUUAU
rnacentral:rRNA from 1 species